UGUACUUAGCAGCUUGGCUUGAUCAUCCUUGAAGUGCAGUUGAGUGUUGCACGAUGCUCAGCUUCUUCAGUUACUCAACUACUUCUGAUGAUCCCUUGAUGAAUUGCCAUGAAGAUCAUUCUUCUUGAUACUUGAUGCCUUCUCAUAAUGGACUUGCUAAGAUGACUGUAAGUUCUUCUCUCUAGUACUUAGAGUCUUCCCAUGAUGGAUAUCAAGAUGACAUGAUGGUCUUCUUUUUCUCGGCAGUUCAGAACAGUCUUCUUGUAGUAGAACUCUCACUUCUACAUUGUAGAACUCUCACUUCUACUUCUUUCUUUGUCUGUCUCUAAGUGUUCUUGGUGGAUCGUAGAGUGAGUCUUUAGACCUUCAUUGGUCACUCACUAUUUACGUUGGUUAGAUCAGUCCACCAAUUCUCCAAACUCAACAACUCUAGCAACCUUUGAUCUUUGAAGCUCUAGUUGAUUUAUACUCCUUUCCAAUCUUCCCGUAGGAAAGUAGCCAUUGAAAGCUCUUUGAAUUGCUUCACAGAUCUCGAGUUGUUUAGUGCAGACUGCAAAUGUGACAUGACAUGACUUUCUAACACUGCAGUCUACUGUUUCACCUACCCCAUCAGAGAUAUCACUUUUAUGCCUCGGGCAGGUUAACGACUUUAUUUCCCCCUUCUGAUUUUUUGAUCAGAGGUUGUCCUUUUGCAUCGAUGCUCUUAAUAAGCUCUUGUCCGAAUAUCAACCUUCAGAUUGAACCAUUGUCAAUGCUUCAAUCUUCAGCUGUUCGAACUCUACGAUUCUGAUGCAUGUCUUAUUGGACCUGAUCGUAGUGUCUUGUUGACUGGUAGAGAUAACACUAUGAUCUUGAAGAGUGUUGAUUGGAU
rnacentral:lncRNA from 1 species